UCUGCUCACUGCAGCACAGCUGAAAAGAAAAAAAUUCUUUAAGAUUGUUAUGGGAGGCCUUGAACAGAAAAAGGGCUACAGAAUUGGCUUCAGAUACAGAGUAUUGUUCCACUCCACACUGACUAACCAAAUGGGACCAGCAACCCUCUUUCAGCAUUCAUUGAAGAACAAGAGUGCAUGUACAGUAUGAAGCUAUGAUUCUCAUACGUGCUCUUCAAGUUUAGAACUAAAGUAGUCCACCUAUCUGCUAGGAUGCAUUGCUUUGAAGAGAAAAUCUUUAAAAAAUGUAGACUGUUUUCUCAUAUGGAGGUUUGUUUUGUUUUUUUGGUUCUCCUUGAUGGAAAAAGACUGCAAGUAUCUAUUUGCCACAACAGAAAAUAAAAAAAAGGCUGCUGUUAUUCCCACUCUGGACACCAGAUGGUAUUGCAAAGUAUGAAACAAAUGCCAAGACAUCCCCACCUCUUUCUUUGAAUCCAGGUUUACCGCCAGCAGAAUAGAAUUGAAAGCCAACCAGAUAAUCGCAUUUUCAAAGACAUAGAAGGCAGCAUAUUCAGGAUAAGGUUACAUACAGCUACCACAGAUCAAACAAGAUAGGUAGGGUGACCAUAUUUGACAAAAAACAGUGAGCAUUUGUCCUGUUGCUCGGAUCAAGUUUGCAAGAGCAAACGGGACAAAUACUCAUUUUUG